AUUGAACGCUGGCGGCAUGCUUUACACAUGCAAGUCGAACGGCAGCACGGACUUCGGUCUGGUGGCGAGUGGCGAACGGGUGAGUAAUACAUCGGAACGUGCCCAGUCGGGGGGGAUAACUACUCGAAAGAGUAGCUAAUACCGCAUGAGAACUGAGGUUGAAAGCAGGGGAUCGUAAGACCUUGCGCAACUGGAGCGGCCGAUGGCAGAUUAGGUAGUUGGUGGGAUAAAAGCGUACCAAGCCGACGAUCUGUAGCUGGGCUGAGAGGAGGAGCAGCCACACAGGAACUGAGCAGCGGCGCAGACUCCGACGGGAGGCAGCAGUGGGGAAUGUUGGACAAUGGGCGAAAGCCUGAUCCAGCAAUGCCGCGUGCAGGAUGAAGGCCUUCGGGUUGUAGACUGCUUUUGUACGGAACGAAAAGCUUCGGGCUAAUACCCUGGAGUCAUGACGGUACCGUAAGAAUAAGCACCGGCUAACUACGUGCCAGCAGCCGCCGUAAUAC
rnacentral:rRNA from 1 species